GAUCUCAGCUCAAGCAAGACUACCCGCUGAAUUUAAGCAUAUUAAUAAGCGGAGGAAAAGAAAAUAACAAUGAUUCCCCCAGUAACGGCGAGUGAAGCGGGAAGAGCUCAAAUUUUAAAGC
rnacentral:rRNA from 1 species